UACGUAGGUGGCAAGCGUUAUCCGGAAUUAUUGGGCGUAAAGCGCGCGUAGGCGGUUUCUUAAGUCUGAUGUGAAAGCCCACGGCUCAACCGUGGAGGGUCAUUGGAAACUGGGAAACUUGAGUGCAGAAGAGGAAAGUGGAAUUCCAUGUGUAGCGGUGAAAUGCGCAGAGAUAUGGAGGAACACCAGUGGCGAAGGCGACUUUCUGGUCUGUAACUGACGCUGAUGUGCGAAAGCGUGGGGAUCAAA
rnacentral:rRNA from 1 species